rnacentral:lncRNA from 1 species
UUCUACGAAGAAGACCAAGACACUAUCUGUGGCAGGGUCAUAAAUUUUUAUUUGUAUGACAACCAUGUGUACCCUGCUAAAGGCGCGGGGGCCUCUUGCAGGGCUGGGGAGAGUCUGGGUUGCUGUCGGCCCUCCUCUUCCUCCUCCGCCGGGGCCCCCCAGGUGAGCUGUCCCUGCCCUGGCCAGGAGGUGAGGGCUCGUGGCUGCAGCCCGGCACCACGGCAUCUUCUUCUGCCACCUCUCGUGGCUCUGAGAAGGGCUCCUCCAGAUCCCCGGGGAUGGGUGCGGUGGGCAGAUGGCCAGGACCCCCAGGUAGGGUGGCACUGGAGGUGCUGGGCAGCUCCUCGACGUCAGAAUCCUCCGGGCUGCUGGCAGGAGUGUCCCGGGGGGAGGCAGCAGGGCUGGGGGUGCCUCAGGGCUGUCUUCUGGCUCCCAGGUGUCUUGGGAGCCCUCGAGGUCCACCUCAGGGCCAUUGUACUGCAGGCUGGCAGGACGGGGUUCGAGGAAUCCCAGGUGCUCCAGGUACUCCUCGCUGCACGUCUGCAGCAUGAUGGAGAUGAGCUGCUGCACAAAGCUCACCGUGUGGCCCUGCAGCAACGGCCGCAGCUCCUGCACCAAGGCCUGCUCAUCCAGCCCGCAGCGGCACAGCCAGGCGAUGACGGUGGCCUCCAGCAUGUCCUGGUCCCACCAGGCAGCGUCGAACAGCUCCCUGGCUUGCUGGCGCACCCAGGAGCGCAGCGGACCGAGGACUUCCAGGUGUUCCCUGAAGAGGGCCGCCCAUUCCUCAGGCAGGAGGCCUCCCACGGCAGGCUGAGGCACCAGCUCCGCAGCCCCCUGCUCGUCCUGCUGGCUGUCAGCUUGGGCCUCUGCGUCAGGGGAAAGCUGCACCUCCAGGAAGUCGUCUUCCGCCCAGAUGGAGUAGCGGAUGGAGGUGAUGCGCUGCCUGCAGAGGGGGCAGGUACUGCUUCUCUCGGCCCAGCGCAUGAUGCACCCGAAGCAGAAGCGGUGCAGACAGGGGAGGACGUAGCUGGGCUCCUUGGGGGCCCCCUGGCACACAGGGCAGGUGACGUCCUUGGCCUCACUGGCCAUGGCGUUGGCUCGCUGCAGCGGGCUGGGAAGAGCUGCAGAUGGGGAGCUGCUUCCCCUGGCUGGCGCCGCUGCCACAGGUGCUGUGUACUGCAAGAAGGAGAGAGGCCAGGGUCAGUGGCUGUGCCGGAGCGGGCAGCGGCAGUGCCCCGGCCCCUCAGCAGGACAAAACCCCAACGCAAGCCCCGGGGCACGUGUCCCCGCACAGCUCACCUGCACUGCUGCGAGCGCUCCCCGCACAGCCCCGGCUGCCUGAGCCAGGCAGGGCCGGGGAAACGCAGGCACUGGCUGCGGGGACGGGCACUGAGAGCAGCUGCCGACGGCCCCACAGCACAGCUCCAACAACUCCUCUCAACAAAUCCUUGCUUGGCACUCCAAGCCUCGCACACACGCUCAGCGGGAGUCCAGGCACGAGCCAGGCUGGGCCAGGCUCUGACGGCGCCCCAAGAUAAGCAGCGAGGCCUGUGA